CAGAGGUCCCGAGCGUUGUUCGGAUUCACUGGGCGUAAAGGGUGCGCAGGUGGGUUUGCAAGUUUGAUGUGAAAGCCCCGGGCUUAACCCGGGAAUGGCAUUGAAUACUGCAGAUCUGGAGGAUUGGAGGGGGGACUGGAAUUCUUGGUGUAGCAGUGAAAUGCGUAGAUAUCAAGAGGAACACCAGUGGCGAAGGCGAGUCCCUGGACAAUACCUGACACUGAGGCACGAAAGCCAAGGGAGCAAACAGGAUUAGAUACCCUGGUAGUCUUGGCUGUAAACGGUGCGCAUUUGCUGUAAACGGAAUCGACCCCGUUUGUGGCGAAGCUAACGCGAUAAAUGCGCCGCCUGGGAAGUACGGUCGCAAGAUUA
rnacentral:rRNA from 1 species